rnacentral:tRNA from 1 species
UCCCUGGUGGCUAAGAGGGUAAAGAAUCCGCUUGUAAUGUGGGAGAUUCAGGUUCAAUCCCUGGGUUGGGAA